rnacentral:rRNA from 1 species
UAGGGAAUAUUGGACAAUGGGCGCAAGCCUGAUCCAGCCAUCCCGCGUGAAGGAUGAAGGUCCUCUGGAUUGUAAACUUCUUUUCUUCGGGAAUAAAAACUGGGGUUCUCCUCAGCUUGAAGGUACCGAAGGAAUAAGCACCGGCUAACUCCGUGCCAGCAGCCGCGGUAAUACGGAGGGUGCAAGCGUUAUCCGGAUUCACUGGGUUUAAAGGGUGCGUAGGUGGCUUUGUAAGUCAGUGGUGAAAGCUCGGAGCUCAACUCCGAAACUGCCAUUGAUACUGCUUAGCUUGAAUCAGGUCGAGGUGGAUGGAAUGUGACAUGUAGCGGUGAAAUGCUUAGAUAUGUUACAGAACACCGAUUGCGAAGGCAGUUCACCAGCCCUGUAUUGACACUGAGGC